CCGCUCUAAUAAGGAGAGUCAGCUACUUGGAUUAACAUGAGUGAUCAAAAUGAAUAAGAAAAUCCAAGUAUUUUAGGGUAUCCAUGAGUUCAAAUUUGAUGCAGACAUGAUAAUUAAAGAUCAGAUUCAGGUUCAAAUUGAUAGGGAAUGGUAUCAGAUCAAGGCAUGGUUCAGUUUUAUUUCAAAUUCAUUGACUACGCAACAGACAACUAGCAACGAGGGCACUGAGUUUAUCCGGUGAAUCAAAAUGCUUACAAGGCUAUCUCAUCAUCAUCCCCUAUGCAUAUGCAACAAUCCUAAAUAAAACACUUUAGACUCGAUCCUAAAUGUAAUGCAACUACAAGAACACUCUUUUUUUUUGUGAAAUCAUUUUCUGAAAUUUUUCAAAUUUUUUUGGUUUUUCUAUGCCUUAGAUGAAUGCAGACUCAAGAAUAUAUACAAUGCAACACACACUUCCUGAGCCCUCCCCCAAACUUAAAUCACACAGUCCACUGUGCGAAUAAACUUGGAAGAGAGUACUCAGGACAAAUCCAAUCACAGAAACAAAAUGAAAUAAAAACAAAUCACAACAGAUGAUAUAAUACAAUGGUGAAGUGAGGCGCUUACCUCAGUCGAAGAAUGAACGUAGUUGCUCGUCAAUGGCUGCCUGUGAUUGCUCCCAGGCCAUAGACAAACCACCUUGUUCUGUAUCAGCUCCAGCAGGUGGGUACUCAACCUCAUUAGCUCUAUGGCGACCAGCACCGCUCUGAGGAUACUCGACCUCUCUUCUUCUGCUGCGGCCAGCACCGCGGUCGAGUGAUCUCUUGGCGUGGAUAAGCUAAAACAUGGUCGAGUAUUUUUCAUUUCUCUGUGGUCGAGUAUACUGCUUUACUCGCAGAGCCAGAAUCCAUUUCACUCGUCUCUUUAUACUUAUCUCCUGAAGACACUAACCAAAUGCAUCAAAAUCAACAAGGAAAAAUAAAGAUAUGUACAAAGAUAGACAUGGGAUUUCCUCCCAAGUGAGCUUGUUUUAAGUCUCUAAGCUUGACUUCUCAUACUCGUUAGGCUCAGGGUAGGUUGCAGAGAGGAAAUGUGGUCUCCUCUCUUUCUUGAGUAGAGUGAUCAUCAUACUCAUUAGGGUUUCUUAACAGGUCUGCAAUUGGGUACUCAGAGGCCAUGUCCUCACAGUAAGCUUCUUUUUUUAUCAAGAUAGUCUUCUCCUCUAGACCAUUCCGAUGUGAAUUCACAUCCUUCUUUGCUGACAAGAAUAGUGGCUCCAUCGUCAGGGGCGUUCUUGAUGUUGAGUGGUACUUGGUUGGCUUUUCCAUUGAGCUCCUUGAUUUGAUCCUUCAGCUCUUUCACAAUAUGUGUUAGCUCUUGUAUGGCUUUGUCCUGCCAUUUAGAUCUCUCCUUGAGUUCUAACCAAUCAUCUAACGUCUGAGUGCUUGCAAUGAGUUGUUUGGUCAAGCAUGAGCUUUUAGGGCAAGUUGGAGGCUUCUUCGAGUUGUUGGUGGAAUCAGUUGGUCGAGCAUGUGUUGAACUUACUUCAUUAGCUUUCAUAACCUUUGUGUCAGACCCCAUCAAGCCCUUGUAAAUCUUUGAGCCAACUGUUGCCUUGUGUGAGUCUAAUGACUUCUCAGAACUCAAAGUUUCACUAGGGAGAUACCCAGCUUUACCACUCUUGGUCAAAACAGUUUUUGAGUUAUUUGCUUCUUUAAGUUCCACUAGAAGUUCAUCAACUAGUCGAUCCGUUUCCUCAACUAAGAAGGUUUGUCCUUCUAUUGUCGGCUUCUUCAUAGCAUCAUUGAUGUCAAACUUCAUUUUAAAAUCCUUCCCCAUAUUAAGAUCAAUCUUUCCUUGCUUAACAUCUAUAAUUGCUCCAGCUGUAGCCAAAAAGGGUCUUCCUAAGAUCAAGGGAUCUUUUGGUUCUUCAUCCAUGUUCAAUAUUAUGAAGUCUGUAGGCACCUCCACCUUUCCAAUCUUGAUAGGCAAAUCUUCUAAUACCCCAUGAGGUUGUCUAACUG
rnacentral:sRNA from 1 species